rnacentral:rRNA from 1 species
GAUGAACGCUGGCGGCGUGCUUAACACAUGCAAGUCGAGCGAAGCACUUAAGUUUGAUUCUUCGGAUGAAGACUUUUGUGACUGAGCGGCGGACGGGUGAGUAACGCGUGGGUAACCUGCCUCAUACAGGGGGAUAACAGUUAGAAAUGACUGCUAAUACCGCAUAAGACCACAGUACCGCAUGGUACAGUGGUAAAAACUCCGGUGGUAUGAGAUGGACCCGCGUCUGAUUAGGUAGUUGGUGGGGUAACGGCCUACCAAGCCGACGAUCAGUAGCCGACCUGAGAGGGUGACCGGCCACAUUGGGACUGAGACACGGCCCAGACUCCUACGGGAGGCAGCAGUGGGGAAUAUUGCACAUGGAGGAAACUCUGAUGCAGCGACGCCGCGUGAAGGAUGAAGUAUUUCGGUAUGUAAACUUCUAUCAGCAGGGAAGAAAAUGACGGUACCUGACUAAGAAGCCCCGGCUAACUACGUGCCAGCAGCCGCGGUAA